CGUCUAGUGUAUUUCAUGUAGUACAUAAUGGGAGGGGAACGCAAGGACGUCCAAAGUGGGUUAACAGUGGUACACCUUGUAAUCAUUCCGGUUAGAAACAAUGCGACGAAGCACAAGGGAAAGGUUUGAAAGUGUGGCACUUCUACGCCGUUUUGCGUCAUGUUUCAGCUGUAUAUUUAGGACUAACGCUUAAAGGAGAAAAUGAUAAUUAUAAAAAAAAAAAAAAAAUCAAAAUCAUACCUGUUUAUUUAGGGGAACUUAUUUGAUUGUGUGUGCUUCUGGAGACAAAAUUUGCAAAAUUACGAAUGGAUUUUGUUGCUGGGUGUUCGCUCACCAAAAUUUGAUUCAGUUUAUUAUAUAUAUAUAUAUUAUCCUGUCUUUAAUUUCCUAAUAAUGUCCUGUUUUUAAUAUUUUUUUUUAAGAAAAGAUACAGCCGAGGAAUUGAUAACCCCUCCCCUAAAAAACAAACAAACAAACAAACAAAAAACAACACACACACAGUUCUAGGUUUUGUGAAAUGUUGCUUUCUUUAUUUGUAAAAUGCAUCCUGAAUGUAGCCUUUCUGAACAUGGCCGCUCUGACAUGCUCCAUGUAGCCCCGUACAGUGUGUGUACAUACCUUUAAAUGAAGAGGGGCUUAAGUUUGCACCGACAUGUAGGCAUUGUUUUUGUAAGUGAAUGUGUCCACGGUGUUCGUGGCAGUUGCAGGACGCGCUCUGCUAAUUGGCAUGCUUUUCUGUCCCGCCACAAAAGAGAGGCCCCAGCAGCUUAUAUGGCGAGGCAGAUCACAACAAACCCCAAAGCCCGUGAAUGAUGUCAGCCCUCCUCACAAGCACACAGGGAAGGGGAGGAUGUGGGCUGUGAGGGGGGCAUUCACUUGUAGAAUGAUUGUUUAAAAAAAAAUCAAAAAGAGAAAAGAAAAGGAAGGAGGAAAGAAAAAGGAGAAAGACAGAGAAGUGUAAAAAAAAAGUGCGUUUAAAAUAACUUGUGGAUACAUAUUGUAGAUGUCAGUGACACACACACACACACACACACACACACACACACACACACACACACACACACACAACUCACCAUAGGCCUUAUGUCCGAGGCUGGAGCUACUACAACUAAAACUUGAACUUUUUGAUGUUCUCAGUCUGUCUUUGACUCUGUGUGACACAGGCUUGUCCUAUACUACAUCGUUAUAUGUUAUUCUACACGGGCAUGACUGCAGCAGUAAAACGGAGGGAGGUGUAGCUUUGUUACAAGCACAUAUAGGCUGCACGGCGCAGGAAGGAGCGGAAUCCAUUCGCAACGCAAAGCGGCAGCCUAUUUCCACGCACAAACCACGGCUGACGGGCAUAAGUGGUGGUUUUCUGGGGAGGGGAGUUACCUGACAGAGACCCUAUCAACGUAAACAAGUGUGUGUGUGUGUGUGUGUGUGUGUGUGUGUGUGUGUGUGUGUGUGUGUGUGUGAGCUACAUCCAUGCCCUCCUCACCCAUUCAGCUGGUUUGACAUAUUACAAUACUUGAGGUCAGGUGUUUUUGACGCGGAAUUUUUUCGAAGUCACUGGCUGUUUAUAUAUUAUAUGAAACUGAAUAUUUAUUUUUGUGAAUUUUUUAUGGGAGGACGGGAAUUUUCUUGUACAUUGAUUCUUUGUUGUGAAUACAGAACAACUGCACUCGAAAUGGAAACUUGAACUGUGGUUUUCUGAAGCACUUUCCCUUUCUAUUCUUUUUUGUUUGUUUGUUGGUUGGUUGGUUGGUUGGUUUGUCUGUUAAUUAUGGAACCUUCAUUAAACGGGACUGAGUGUGAUCAUCA